rnacentral:rRNA from 1 species
GGAUCAUUGUCGAAAUCGAACGGAAAAACGACCCGCGAAUCGUCAUUGCGUAGUAGACAGAGCCCGUGAGCAGCUAACGCUCAUGGGGCUCGCGUCGCGUCGGCGCGGGUGUACUCGAGACCCGCGUCGUACCGACGGACAAACAACGUCAGCACGGAUCGUGCCAAGGAGCCGCAUGGAGAGAAUCGUCGUCCCACGCCUUUGAUAGUCCCCGAUGUGGGACGGGGGACGUACGCAAUCUCUAAUCAAGUCUAAACGACUCUCGGCAACGGAUAUCUCGGCUCUUGCAUCGAUGAAGAACGYAGCGAAAUGCGAUACUUGGUGUGAAUUGCAGAAUCCCGUGAACCAUCAAUUCUUUGAACGCAAGUUGCGCCCGAAGCCACACAGGCCGAGGGCACGCCUGCCUGGGUGUCGUGAAUCCCCUUGCCCCUGGGCACCCGCACGAGCAUCGGCGGGGAUAUACGCUGGGGCGCAGAAUAUGGUCUCCCGUGGGAUCGGCAUGCACGGCAUGUCGAGGUGCGGUUGGCCGAAAAUCGAGCAUGGCGGUGACGGGCACCACGGCGUUCGGUGGAUCGAAUGAGAUUGGCUGCGCCGUGGGCUCGGCAUGCGGCGGGCUCCGGACUUUGAAUUUCCCCGAGUGCGAUCCCAGGUCAGGCGGGGCUACCCGCUGAGUUUAAGCAUAUCAAUAAGCGGAGGAAAAGAAACUAACGAGGAUUCCCUUAGUAGCGGC